CCCGCCGAACACCGCGCUUCAUAGCCUCCGGCGCACCGCGGCGAUCUUUCCACGGCCGAUCACCUGGCACCAGCGUGCUCAAUAGACUCCUCCCGGCUCCACUGCUCGUCACACACUGGCAGAGGGUGGGAGAAGCCAACAGAAUGCUUUCAGUGGAGGAGCACGGAACCUGCAAGGGUGGGGACCAAGACCAGCCAGCGCAAGAGGAAGGGACUGGAGUGGGGAACGGAUGAUUUCAGAAGGAAUUAAGCUCUGCUUUGGGGUUUUAGCUCUUUAGUUUUUCGGAGUUUCGUGUGCCUUUUUAAAUGAUUUUCGUUCUUAAUAUUCAACGAAAAUGAAACCUCAAUAUCGUUAUCUUUGCGUAAUUCUGACAGCAAUUUCAGAAUUAUUGACCGGCCGGUGAUCUCAGAACGGUGCUCAUUAGUUGGAAUUUUGGUUUUACUUCCUAUAUAGUUGUCUAUUCUUCGGUUGAGGUCAUUGCUAUUGACAAACUGUACUAAAUUAUAAUAGAGAUUCGUCAUUGGUUUUUAAGGCAUUGUGCUUGGGUUUUAUGUUUUAAAUCAAGUUGGGGAGAAAUUAUGUAACUCAGUGGAUUCCCUUUUUUUAUGGG